CUCUCCAUUGAUAUGGAAAGGUUGCUGAGGGUGGUGAAUCACCUGCCUAACUCCAGCCCAGAGUCCCCUUCUCAUUUUGAAAUUGGCUCAUGAUUUCUUUUAGCAUCCCUCGAGGACGGUCAUAUUCCAGUGAUGGUUUGAAGACUCUAUGAUUGUUUCCUCGCAAGGCGUUUCGUUUUACUUUUAACUUUCCUUCAAGCCCAAGGUUCAGAAAGCAGCGCUGUGCUCUGUGCCUGCUGGCCAUCGGCUGUGCAGCAAAGCUUUGGUGCUUCAAGGAGAGGGUGAGAUGCUCUGCAAGAUUUGAAAACGUCCCGAUUUUUAUUCCUGAAGAGUUAAAUGACGUGGAUUUACACUGACAUACGCAUACAGGCAGCUUUUUUCCCCCCCCAGCAGGUACAGAAGUGAGUGCCUGGUGUGACACCUGUGAACGGAGCUGCACAAAGCAGCAGUGACAGCGUGGUUCCCGCAGCAGAACUCAGUGCCACGCUGCUGCUCACUGCUCCAGCUUCCCUUCUCCUGGAUUUGUGGUUCAUCUUGCAAGGAUAUUCCCAUGCAGCCUGAAACAUGAGAUUGGUUAAGGUGCUGAGGAUGUUAAUGAGCCAAAGUGGAUAAUGCUCAGCUGUUCUAAUAGGUACGUG
rnacentral:lncRNA from 1 species